GCUGCCGGCAUGCUUUACACAUGCAAGUCGAACGGCAGCACGGGGGUAACCCUGGUGGCGAGUGGCGAACGGGUGAGGAAUACAUCGGAACGUAUCUUUAAGUGGGGGAUAACGCAUCGAAAGGUGUGCUAAUACCGCAUAAUCUCUGAGGAGAAAAGCAGGGGAUCGCAAGACCUUGCGCUUUUGGAGCGGCCGAUGCCUGAUUAGCUUGUUGGUGAGGUAAAAGCUCACCAAGGCUUCGAUCAGUAGCUGGUCUGAGAGGACGACCAGCCACACUGGGACUGAGACACGGCCAGACUCCUACGGGAGGCAGCAGUGGGGAAUUUUGGACAAUGGGGGAAACCCUGAUCCAGCCAUGCCGCGUGAGUGAAGAAGGCCUUCGGGUUGUAAAGCUCUUUCAGCCGGAACGAAACGGUUACGGUUAAUACCCGUGACUACUGACGGUACCGGAAGAAGAAGCACCGGCUAACUACGUGCCAGCAGCCGCGGUAAUACGUAGGGUGCGAGCGUUAAUCGGAAUUACUGGGCGUAAAGCGUGCGCAGGCGGUUUUGUAAGUCAGAUGUGAAAUCCCCGGGCUUAACCUGGGAACUGCGUUUU
rnacentral:rRNA from 2 species